CCCCGGGCGCCAGGGCUGGGCCGAGCCCGGCUGCCCGCCGGGGUUUAUCCCUUGAUGUCCCGCCGGGGUUUAUCCCCUGAUGUCCCGCAGGAAAGGCGGCUCCAUCAGCUCCGGCAUCGUCUGUGCAUCCUGAGCGGAGCGGGGAGGGGAGGACCGGGGGCGGCUCUGCCCAGCAGCGCUGCCCGCAGCCCCCGCCGCCUCCUCCUCCUCCUCCCUCCCUCGCCAUGCUGGACAUUUUCAUCCUGAUGUUUUUCGCCAUCAUCGGCCUGGUGGUCCUGUCCUACAUCAUUUACAUGCUCUAAGGAGCCGCCGCCGCCGAGGAUGCGGCUCAGCAGCGGCCUCGCCCCCCGAGCGGCGGCCAGCCUCCGCCCGGUGCGCGUCCCUCGGAGCCUUCUGGAACAGCGUUAACCUCUGCGAGCCCGGCGCGGAGCACGGAGCGGUCACGGAGCCGGGAACGGCAAUGGGGGGCACACGGGAGGGGGCUCCGAGGGGCUGUCCCGCUGCCAGGACCCGGCUAACCCCGCUGUCAGGACCCGUGUCCUUCACCCUGCCAGGACCCGUGUCCUUCACCCUGCCAGGACCCGGGUCCCCCCCGCUGCCGGGAUGCUCCCGGUGACGCACGCGGUGUCCCCAAGGGGAUGGGAAGGGUCCUGUCCCCCCCUUUGUGUCCUUGUCCCCUCGCUCCGAGGCCGCUCGCCCGGGCUCAGUUUCAGGCCGCGGUUUCUGUUUUUGAUGAGCGAUGUUCAGGGAGCGGAAUAAAGAGGAAUGAAUGACACGCGA